AGUAACCUGAAAUGUUCGAAAAGUUCUUGUAAUUUUGAACCUACAUCACUUUAAACGGGAUUCCUAUAUUGCCGGUCGGAUGUCAGGCCUCAAUAUCAGUGGAAGGCAGAAGAUCCGGUUGCGGUUACCCACCUGGCACAUACGCUAGGAGUCAAAAUACAGGAAUCGGCAUUUCGGGGCAAUG
rnacentral:other from 1 species